rnacentral:lncRNA from 1 species
CCUCCAUGCUUCGAUCUGGGUUAUGAAACUUGGCAAGCAUGAAGAGUGGCUCAAGGCGCUUCUAAUGGACCUGGGUUUAUGACCGGAGGUGGCCGGAAAUCGGCGUUGACUGAUUUGCUACAGUAAAAAUAUUGGCUUCGAUCUCCAUAUUUCCGGCCAAACCGCCGUAAACAACUCCUACAUGCGUGUUAAGGAGGAGGAGACGAGUCUAUUGACGCUCGCAGCUCGC